UGUUGUAAUUAAAUAUCUUCUCGCAAUCUUGUUUUUUCAAUUAUAAAAAGUUUGCCUUAUAUACGUUUGCCUUGUUAUCUUUUUUUAUCUUUAUUUAUAACUAAUGGCAAUGAUAAAGUCAUAUAUCUUGAUUUGCGUUUUCAGUUUUCAUUGAAAAUUAUUCUCAUCGUGUUACAUUAGCUGUGGCUUUGGAUCGAAUAAAUAUAAUUAUAUUUUAUAUUUAUAACUGCAACUUGUUACAAAAACUUGGAUUGAUUCUGAUUCUGUUGACAACAUUGUUAAUUUAGCUACUUUGUUUAGAAAAUAAAAGUGAUUGAGUUAUUUACCUGAAAGUAAGGAGAAUAUAGAUUAAAUACUUGCUGUAUAUACACUUGAGAUAAAUUUAAAAUUAAAGUAGUUUUCUCAUACUACACUAUUGUAUUAAUGUCGAUAUAUUCUUACGUAUUGCUAAUUAUUGCGAAGUAUUGCUAUGUAUUGCUAGCAUAUUGCUGGCAUAUUGCUAGCGUAUUGCUAACAUCUAUUUUAUUGCAAUUGUUACUGUUUUGCCGCAACAUAUUUCUAAUGAAAUGAUUGCCACAGUGGUUUACCCUUCAUACCAUAAAAACUUAUUUUAUGAAGGUUUUUUUAUGGAACUACAAUUUUUGAUCUGGUGAUAAAAAUUGUUAAGAGUUGUUUUGAGUUUUGAAAUGCUUGCUUUAAUUUUGUUCUGUUUUCUAUAGUUCUUUAUUAUUUCAAACUUGGGUGUACUUACAUUACUUAAUAUGAUCAUUUUUACGUGAAAUGCAUGUCUUUCUUAUUCCUUCGUGCUAUCGUAUGUCUGAUGUGGUGGAGUAUUUUAUUAGAUAUACCGAAUUUUGGAAUGAUAACUCAUAUUCCGUUGGAUUAUAUGCACUUGGUUUGCAUUGGUGUGAUCAAGAAAAUUUUGAAUUUUUGGUUAUCUGGGCCGUUAAAUGUUCGAUUGCCGACACGAUCAGUAAGCAGCUUUUCGAAAUUGUUAAUUGAAAUGCAGCCAUCGAUAUCCGAAUUUGUUCGUAAGCCGCGGGAAUUACAUUUCUUGAGUUUAUAGAAAGCCACAGAGUUGAGACUUUUACUUUUAUAUACUGGUCCCAUUAUUUUGAAGAAUUAUAUUAAGAAAAAUAUCUACAGGAAUUUUUUAACAUUGCAUGUAGCCAUUCGGCUAUUGUGUUCUCCAGAUCUUUUACAUAUUACUUAUGCGGAAUCUUUACUACAACACUUUGUGCAGUCAUUCAUAAUCUUAUAUAGGUCACAGCAUACAUCUUACAAUAUACAUGCACUAUUUUAUUUAGCAGAUGAUGUUAGAAAAUUUGGAUCUUUAGAUACGUUCAGCACUUUUCGAUAUUAAAAUUAUUUAAAAAAAAUAAAACAGUUUCUUAGAAGAGUUGAACGUCCCUUACAAAAAAUCCACAAUCGUUUAACAGAAAUGGAAUAUUGCUCAUCGUUUGAAAAAGAACAUAGAAAAAUGAGUGGUGGUACAUGGAACACACAUUGCGAGUCCAAUUUUACCUGGAAUAAAUGGUCCUCAAUAUUCAACAUUUUCAAGAGUAGAUUUCACUCUCUCUAUUCAUGAUCCAAAUAACUGUUGUGGUUUAAACGAUUGUUCGAUUGUUAUCAUAGAGAAUAUUGUCACUAAUGCUACUAAUGAUCUUUGAAUUAUUGGUCGAAAAUUCAUCAAUUUGAAUGAUCUGUAUACUGAACCAUGUAAUUUCUCCUUGUUGAGAAUAUAUAAGGCAACAGAAUGUGAAAAUUUAUCGAUCUGGCCUCUAACUUCUGUUACAAUAAAAUAUGUAAAAUUCAAUUUUUGUAAUACAUUCGUACUUCUACCAUUGAUGCAUAAUGUUUAAUAUAUUUUAUUUGCAAGAUGGCUCUUCCAAACGAUCUAUUCCAUUUACUAGAAUUUGAGGAUGGAAUACAAGUAGUACCUAAUAAUUGGGUACAAAAAGAUAUCAACAAAUGUUGGUAUCCCAAUUAUAAAACAGAUCAACAGAUAUCAUUAAAGCAAUAAAAGAAACGACAAACGCGUCAAGAUAAUUGGUUGAUGUAUCCAAUUAAAAGAGUAUUUGGUAUAUAUGACUCCUACAGUCAAGCAAUAAACUAAAAAAAGCAGAAAUGAAUUCCGAUAUUAAUACCGAUACUGACGACAAAGCACAAAGAAAAAUCAGAGCCAGAAAACAGAUUGAUAUUGAUGAUGAUGAAAGCGAUGAUGAUCAUGAUAGUGAUCCUCUCCGCCUACCAUCAUAUCCGAAAGCACCUAUAGUUGUUUAUACGAAUACGUACAAAGGAGAUGCACGCAACAUACCCAAAAAGGAACUAAAGAAUAUAUUAAAAUUAAAUAUAUACAAAGGAGAUAUCCAAGGAUCUCCCAUCUCCCAUAGAGAGAUACCCAAAAGAGAUAACCAUACACAAAAAGGAAAUGAAGAAUAUAUUACAAUUGAAAAUUAUCUUCAUCGUAUGGAUAGAACGUUAGCAGAUAUAAAAUUUGACAUAAAUCAACUCAUUGAGCAAUAUCAACUUAUAUUGACUAAAAUGAAUUCAAAUAAUGGUUCCAAUCUGACGCGAGAAUGUCAUAGCCCUUUGCCAAAUGAAUGAAGCAAAUUGUCUCUCCCUCUGAAAACUGUAGAAGAACUAGAAUAUUUACAAUGCAUGCUUUUUUCAAAUGAAGAAGGAUUAAAAGAGCGUAUGUUCAGCAUAUUGGCAGCUAUUGGUGGAUGUACUUACGAAGAAAUGGUUAAAAGAAUGCUUAUAUAAUAUAUAUUUUUACGAAUGAAGUAGCUAGUUUGUACAGUUGGGUGGGAGGAAAGGGAAAACGAAAACUUCAUCAUUUAGAGAUAAUGAAAUUAAUGUUUAAAGUCAUCAGGAAGACAUUCCCUAAUGUCACAGAGAAAGAUUUUGAAACAAAAUGUAAAGAUUGGUUUCGACACGCGAAACACAGAUUCGAGAAUGAAAAACGGCGGCAAAGUAAUUCGACGCAGCAAUAAUCAGUUGCCAGAAGCAUAAUUUUUACAUCGAAGCAACAAUUAUUAUAUGCAAUUGCUGAACGCUCAUGUGACACCGACGAAUAUUCGUAUAACGCCUGUGCAUCCGAUCAACCGCAGCCGUACAUAUUAGGCUAUCCUAACAUAAGAUUUUAAUUGCCCACAUAUCUGCUAUCAUCGUCCGGGGUUAUGGAAAAGUUUCAUCCACUGAAGGAAGACUUUGCUAUGCUUUAUGUAGCGCUCGAGGAAGAGCUGAAUGUGCAGACGUACAACCACGACAAGAUCGUGUCGUUCGUUGACUUAGCAUGGGACGCGAUCAUAAGAGAAAAUGUGACUGCAAUCGCUCGUAUAGUUUUAUAGUGGACAAUGAAAGUGAAAGUUGUCGAAACGAAGGCAAUAACAGCAAUUUUUGUAUUCGUAAACCAUUUCCAUUAUAAAUUAUAUUUAGUUAGUUUUUUUCAAGUCUUUUAGUUAAAUUGAGUCGAAAUAUUAAAGAUUAAAAUAUAUAAAAAGAUAUAGUGUUUUACUUAAUAAUAUAAAUGAAGACGUGCGGAUAUAUCAAAGAAAAGUAAAUGCGCGUUAUAUAAUGAGAUGAUAGCAUGGUUAAGUUAUUAGAACUCAAAAUGGUUACUUCUUCCAGCGCUGUGGAAUAUUCGAUAUAAAAUUUAAAAAAAUCACUAAUGGAUUUUGAAAACGUUAAAGUGCGCUCAAAAUCUGGUCAAAUGUCUGUGAAAAUGAAAUGCUAAAUGUGUCACAAAAUUAUAUUUUUUUAGACACUUAUUUAGUAUGUAAAUGAAUUUGUAUGCACGUGUGUAUAAUUCGUGUAAAUUUUGUAUAGAUUUCAUCGGGAAACCAUAGAAAUGAGAUUGCUAUUUGCUCAUAUAGUCAUCAUAUACACGUUGAAAUAUCUCUGAACUUUUCCAAGGAUUCUAAACAAAAAUUAUUCUAGAUUAAUUGGAUUUCAUGUGAAUAAUUACGCUAUAAUAUUCUUAAUCAAUGGACUAAAUUAUAUUUACGAAUCACUAACAAUAUUUACUGCUUUGCUUGCGUAUAUUGUCUACAAGAGACACAGUUUAUAUAAUCUUGUAUUAUUCCAAAUUUCGCAGAAAAAUGAACGAUAUAAUUUUUGAUGUGUAAAAGUUUAAAUAUAAAAUGGAUGCGUGUCGCAGCUGCCAGAUAUAGGUGAGAGAAUAGAAAGUUGAAUAAUUCAAUCUAAUUCUGCUAUCUGCAAACUAGAUUAUAGAGUGGAUUGCUUUUUUUUUAAAUAACUAAUGAAUAUGCAAAUGUAUUAUUAUUAUGUCGGAAUAAUUAUUAAAAAACAAAAUAUAGCAUUGUUAUUAUUAAACAAUGCAAAAAAUUUUUGUAUUUUGAGUUUCAAGAUAGAAAAGCAGAUUAAAUAAAAAAAUUAGCAGAAUAAAAACAUAACGCAGAUUUUUAGAAUAUUUAGAUCAAAAAGAAAACUGAUAAAUAUAUAAACAUUAUUUCAUAUAUGCUCUAAUUAUGCGCACUAUAUUGUGUACAUGAUUCAGUUACACACAGAAAAAAUCUUUAAGAUUAUUUACUAAAAAUUAAAUAAUAAAAAAUAAAUAAAAAAAAUAAAAAAAAUAAAAAUAAAUAAAAAAAAAUAUGUGAAAUAAGAAAAUUUGUACUAAUCACGUUCAAUUUUCAAAUAAUAUUUUUAUUGAAAUUAAUACUAUAAAACGAUGUUAAUAACAACAGAACUAUGAAAACUGGAUAAUUCGAUGAUAAUUUAUCGUAAUUAUAUCGUAGAGCAAAACAUGCCAUUCUAUGUUAAAUCAGAUAUGAACUGUUUAAUAAUGAACUGUAUAACUCAAUAUAUAAAAGCUUCACCUUCGAGAAAAAUGAGUGGUUGACAAUACAAGCAUAUGAUUAAUUAAAAUGCAUUUUAUACAUUGUCAAAGUUCAACGGUUACACAACAACAAAGCAAAAAUGUGUGAGUUAAAGUAAUAUUUAGCGGCAUUAUUUAAACGCGAGAUAUUUUGUUUGUUCAAACUUAUAUACACAGUUGUAAAGCAUUAAAAAAUUAUGCAAUAUACAUGCUUUUUAGUAUGGAUAAAAUUUUGAAAGAAAUUAAAAACAUUUUUUUGGAAUUUAAACCAAAAUUAUUUUAUGCGUCAAAAAUAUUAAAUUGCUCCUUAAAUAAUAUUAUUGGUAAAAAUUAUAUUGCAUUUAACGGUUUUAAUAAUACUUUUUUACUUUUUUUAGAACAUUUUAUUUUCUUCAAAUAUUUUAUUUUUUAAUUAAUUUUAAAAAAAAUUAUUUGAAAAUCAUAAAAAUAUAAAAACUUUAUAACGCAUUUAAAUAUUUAUUUGUAUAUUUACAUGUAUGUAGGAUGUAGGCGCACGGUAACAACUGUAUCACCGUAUGCAGAGAGAGCAGGUUAGAUCGAGUCAGGAAAGUCCUUUACUAUUUUAAGAUUUUUGCAAUAAUUGAAGAGAAAUUAAUUUUAAAACAUCUAUCAAUUUGCGCGGAUAUAAACGCAUGAUGAGAAAAGACAUUUUUAGACCCAGACACCAAUGUUAUUUUGGCUUAAAACUUUUGGCUUGAUAAUAAACAAUAUUAUUUUAUUUUUGACUUUA